GUGUAUGAAAUGAGAGAAGGUUUGCACUCCCCUUGACGAGGAUGGAAGAGGUCCCUGCAGCUGGUGCAACAAUACAUACAGUUCCUUCCAAAGGAGGAAAAUCUAACAUUUUUU